GUACUCGCUUCGGCAGCAUAUAUACUAAAAUUGGAGUGAUACAGAGAAGAUUACCAUGGCUCCUGCACAAGGAUGACAUGCAAAUUUGUAAAGCGUUCCAUAUUUUU